AUGUUCCCUGUGUUUCUGCUGUUACUGCUGGCAGCUGCUUCCUGUGAGUAUUUUUUAAACUUUAAGUGGAGUGCCCAAGACUACGGAAUGCACUGGGUGAGACAAGCUCCACAGAAAGGCCUGGAAUGGAUUUCAUACAUCAGCGGACCUAGUGGGAGCAGCAAGUACUACUCAGAGUCUGUGAAGGGAAGAUUCUCCAUCUCCAGGGACAAUGACAGGAGCACCGUCACCUUGGAAAUGAAUAAUCUAAAAGCUGAAGACACAGCUAUGUUUCACUAUGCGAGACACUCUUAG